rnacentral:rRNA from 1 species
CGGUUUUUUCUUUUUUUUUGAAAACUUUGCUUUGGUGGGCCCAUGGCCUGCCAGAGAUUAAACUCAACCAAAUUUUUAUUUAAGUCAACUGAUUAACUAAUAGUCAAAACUUUCAACAACGGAUCUCUGGUUCUCGCAUCGAUGAAGAACGCAGCGAAAUGCGAUAAGUAAUAUGAAUUGCAGAUAUUCGUGAAUCAUCGAAUCUUUGAACGCACAUUGCGCCCUUUGGUAUUCCAAAGGGCAUGCCUGUUUGACGUCAUUUCUCCCUCAAACCUUCGGGUUUGGUGUUGAGCGAUACGCUGGGUUUGCUUGAAAGAAAGGCGGAGUAUAAACUAAUGGAUAGGUUUUUUUUCCACUCAUUGGUACAAACUCCAAAAUUCUCCAAAUUCGACCUCAAAUCAGGUAGGACUACCCGCUGAACUUAAGCAUAUCAAUAAGCGGGAAGAAAAA